AGAAUCAACGCUGGCGGCGUGCCUAACACAUGCAAGUCGAACGAGAAAGUGGAGCAAUCCAUUAGUAAAGUGGCGCACGGGUGAGUAACACGUGACUAACCUACCCUUGAGUGGGGGAUAACCUAGGGAAACCUGGGCUAAUACCGCAUAAUACCUUCGGGUCAAAGGAGCAAUCCGCUUAAGGAGGGGUCGCGGCGAUUAGUUAGUUGGCGGGGUAAUGGCCCACAAGACGAUGAUCGGUAU
rnacentral:rRNA from 1 species